rnacentral:rRNA from 1 species
AGAGUUUGAUCCUGGCUCAGGACGAACGCUGGCGGCGCGCCUAACACAUGCAAGUCGAACGAGCGAGAGAGAGCUUGCUUUCUCGAGCGAGUGGCGAACGGGUGAGUAACGCGUGAGGAACCUGCCUCAAAGAGGGGGACAACAGUUGGAAACGACUGCUAAUACCGCAUAAGCCCACGGCUCGGCAUCGAGCAGAGGGAAAAGGAGCAAUCCGCUUUGAGAUGGCCUCGCGUCCGAUUAGCUAGUUGGUGAGGUAACGGCCCACCAAGGCGACGAUCGGUAGCCGGACUGAGAGGUUGAACGGCCACAUUGGGACUGAGACACGGCCCAGACUCCUACGGGAGGCAGCAGUGGGGAAUAUUGCACAAUGGGGGAAACCCUGAUGCAGCGACGCCGCGUGGAGGAAGAAGGUCUUCGGAUUGUAAACUCCUGUUGUUGAGGAAGAUAAUGACGGUACUCAACAAGGAAGUGACGGCUAACUACGUGCCAGCAGCCGCGGUAAAACGUAGGUCACAAGCGUUGUCCGGAAUUACUGGGUGUAAAGGGAGCGCAGGCGGGAGAACAAGUUGGAAGUGAAAUCCAUGGGCUCAACCCAUGAACUGCUUUCAAAACUGUUUUUCUUGAGUAGUGCAGAGGUAGGCGGAAUUCCCGGUGUAGCGGUGGAAUGCGUAGAUAUCGGGAGGAACACCAGUGGCGAAGGCGGCCUACUGGGCACCAACUGACGCUGAGGCUCGAAAGUGUGGGUAGCAAACAGGAUUAGAUACCCUGGUAGUCCACACCGUAAACGAUGAUUACUAGGUGUUGGAGGAUUGACCCCUUCAGUGCCGCAGUUAACACAAUAAGUAAUCCACCUGGGGAGUACGACCGCAAGGUUGAAACUCAAAGGAAUUGACGGGGGCCCGCACAAGCAGUGGAGUAUGUGGUUUAAUUCGACGCAACGCGAAGAACCUUACCAAGUCUUGACAUCCCUUGACGAACAUAGAAAUAUGUUUUCUCUUCGGAGCAAGGAGACAGGUGGUGCAUGGUUGUCGUCAGCUCGUGUCGUGAGAUGUUGGGUUAAGUCCCGCAACGAGCGCAACCC